rnacentral:rRNA from 1 species
AUACGGAGGAUGCAAGCGUUAUCCGGAUUUAUUGGGUUUAAAGGGUGCGUAGGCGGUUUGCUAAGCGGGAGGUGAAAUGCCGGCGCUCAACGUCGGAAGUGCCUCCCGAACUGGUGGACUUGAAUGACUCUGCCGUGGGAGGAAUGUGUAGUGUAGCGGUGAAAUGCUUAGAGAUUACACAGAACACCGAUUGCGAAGGCAUCUCACGAAGGGUUGAUUGACGCUGAGGCACGAAAGCGUGGGGAUCAAACAGGAUUAGAUACCCUGGUAGUCCACGCAGUAAACGAUGAUGGCUAACCGCUGGGCUUAUCAGUUCAGUGGCCAAGCGAAAGCGAUAAGCCAUCCACCUGGGGAGUACGACCGCAAGGUUGAAACUUAAAUGAAUUGGCGGGG